ACUUGCCUACUGCUGCUGCUGCUGCUGUUUGCAGCUGAGCCUGGACCCCUGCACAACCUGGCUGGAGCAGAGCAGGAGUGGUUUUUAGAGCUCACCCCACCCCUGGGUCUACUGGGGAUAGCAGCACCAGCUUGCAAGGCUUGCACCCAUCUUGACAGCUGUCUCGAUGGAACAGUCACCAAGGACUACUGGAAUUCUUCUUCAGUCUCAGAAAGCCAAUGUCUGGGCUGGAGAUUGGAGUUGUUGGCACUGCUGUUUGUAUGAAGGCACCGAAAGUUGCAACUCAUGACUGAGCAUUGCCCUCAGUGGCCAGAGGAUACAGCUCACAGCCCUGAAGUACAUCACCACUAUGGCGAACCCGUUGGCAUGUGGAAGGAGCAUAAGGGGAGGUGGAGCCCCAAAUGGUGCCCUUGUGCAGGAUAUACUACAAUGAUAAAAUACAUGUCAUGCUGAAAGUCAGGAUGUCUGGGCCCAAGGGCCAGUUUCCCCAGAGGGGAGGUGCCUACAGCAUCCAACACAACCCAUACUGGCGGCACUGCUUGUAGUCAGUUAAAAUGACCAUGUAGUUUCUAGUAUCUAGAAACUAGAUACUACUACACUCAGAGUGUUUCUUCAGCAUUAAUGUCAAUGUGCUUAAAUGGGUCCCUCCGGAAACGGGGCCCCGGUUUUUUGGUUCCUACCCCCAUUAUGGUCAAGCCAUAGAAGGGAUUGAUGAUAGGCCACUUAGAAGAAAACGCCUUUGUUUUAUACAUAGAUUCAUAGAUGUUAGGGUGAAGGGACCUCAGUAGCUCAAGUCUGGCCCUCUGCCCUGGGUAUAUUCUCAGUCACUUCUCUUGUUCUCAAAGGUGAAUUUCAUGUCCCAGUGACUUUCUACUUUAAUGAGUGACUAUUAACAAUCAGCUAGAAUCAGCUUUCUGAAAAAAUGCUAAUGUUAUCCAGCCAAAAUCACAGUAAUAUGUAGGAACAGUGGGUUGGAAGGGACAUCUUGGGCCACUGAGUCUAGUCCUCUAAAUUCACAGACUAUCAUUACCUACGAAAUCCCCCAAUAUAGUCAAUUUUUUCCACUGGAAAUGCAAUUUUCAGUUGUUGAAAUCAUUUAGUGAAUUUAUAUUAAUUUGUGCAAAUUGUUUCAGAAAUAAAAAGCCCCCUGAAAAUAAAAAAACCUCCAAAAUGAAGCAUUUUGAAUGAUUUCUUAAAAUUAUAUUAUAUUUUGAAAUGUAAUUAAUUUUUAUUGAAAAAGUUUUAAAACAAAAACAAUGUUUUAGGUCAAACAAAACCUUUCAUUCCUUCUGAUUUCAAUCUGACAUUUUUUAGCGAUUGUUUUGGUUCAGGCACUAAAGCAAAACAAUCAAUUAUUUGUACUGUUCUAAUGUGCUACACAUUGGGAAGAUUUCACAUGGGGACAAAACAGAGGUUAUUUUCUAAGUGUGUGACAAUUUCCACAAACUCUUUAUAUUCAACAACCAACCUGCAAGCAUCAAGUUAGUUUCUGCCUUCUACCUGGAGGAUGUAUAAACGAUUCUACAUUCUUUUAAAAACAAAACAUUGCUAAAAUUAUAGUUAAUAUAUUAAACUCAAGUACUAAUAUAGUAGUACUCAAGUACUUGUUUUUUCUCCUAUCUUCAUCUAGUUCAAGCCACCACUACUGCAUAACCUGUAUAGAGGAACCCGUUCCUAUGGGUGUGAAGCAAAAGUAACAAAAGAAACAUUUUAAAUGCUUUUGAAAUGCUUUAAAGGGACAGAUGUUCAAAGGUGCAAAAUGUUCCAAAUGUAGCUGAAGCUCUGCAAAACAGUACCUCUUUAAUUGAUGUGCUACUUUAAAGCAUUUCAGUGUUAUGAGUGUGCAGGGGAGGGAGGAAGAGCAGGGGGAGACCCUGGUAGCCAGGAAGAUAACAUGCAGACUAUGCAGCCACACUGAGUCCUACUCCCUGGUCUGAGAUGCUCCAGCACCUUUCAGUUCUAUGGCAAACUUACAA